CUUGCCAGCUACAGACCCCGAGCACGACUCUCUCCGCCCCCCAACACAUGGGUAGGACCCGGCUCCUCUCCUGCCGUGAUGUCACACACCCUGGGCAUUCCACUGUGUCCCGGAGACCAAGGCGAGAGACGCUGAGGGGCCUUCAGGAGAGGGUCCUCCUUCUGCUGGAGGGGCAUGGCGGCCACCACGGCAGUGACCCUCCUGGUCCUGCUGCUCUACUGCGGGCAGGGAGCCGAGCUGCCGCCGAUCAGCGUGACCUCAGCUUCAGCCACUGAAACGCCAGCAAAUCUAAGUAAUCUGGAUGCUGAUAUGGCCUCAAUAUUCGAUGAAAUUCUAGUCCAGGAGAUGAUGGAGCCAAACAGAUCAUCAUUUUUUGAAGCACAAAAACCACUACCAACAUUACCAACAAUAACAACUUCAACAACAUUAACA